UACGUAGGGUGCGAGCGUUAAUCGGAAUUACUGGGCGUAAAGCGUGCGCAGGCGGCGCGUUAAGACAGGUGUGAAAGCCCCCGAGCUUAACUUGGGAAUUGCGCUUGUGACUGGCGUGCUGGAGUGUGGCAGAGGGAGGUGGAAUUCCACGUGUAGCAGUGAAAUGCGUAGAGAUGAUGGAGGAACACCGAUGGCGAAGGCAGCCUCCUGGGCCAGCACUGACGCUCAUGCACGAAAGCGUGGGGAGC
rnacentral:rRNA from 1 species